rnacentral:rRNA from 1 species
AUGAACGCUGGCGGCGUGCCUAAUCCAUGCAAGUCGAGCGAACGGACGAGAAGCUUGCUUCUCUGAUGCUAGCGGCGGACGGGUGAGUAACACGUGGAUAACCUACCUAUAAGACUGGGAUAACUUCGGGAAACCGGAGCUAAUACCGGAUGAUAUUUUGAACCGCAUGGUUCAAAAGUGAAAGACGGUCUUGCUGUCACUUAUAGAUGGAUCCGCGCUGCAUUAGCUAGUUGGUAAGGUAACGGCUUACCAAGGCAACGAUGCAUAGCCGACCUGAGAGGGUGAUCGGCCACACUGGAACUGAGACACGGUCCAGACUCCUACGGGAGGCAGCAGUAGGGAAUCUUCCGCAAUGGGCGAAAGCCUGACGGAGCAACGCCGCGUGAGUGAUGAAGGUCUUCGGAUCGUAAAACUCUGUUAUUAGGGAAGAACAUAUGUGUAAGUAACUGUGCACAUCUUGACGGUACCUAAUCAGAAAGCCACGGCUAACUACGUG